rnacentral:rRNA from 1 species
AAUGAACGUUGGCGGUGUGGAUUAGGCAUGCAAGUCGUGCGCGAAACGUAGCAAUACGUGGAGAGCGGCGAAAGGGAGAGUAAUACAUAGGUACGUACCCUCGGGUCUGGGAUAGCGGCGGGAAACUGCCGGUAAUACCAGAUAACGUCUCCGGACCAAAGGUGUGAUUCCACCUGGGGAGCGGCCUGUGGCCUAUCAGCUUGUUGGCGGGGUAACGGCCUACCAAGGCAAAGACGGGUAUGGGGCGUGAGAGCGUGCCCCCACUCACUGGGACUGAGAUACUGCCCAGACACCUACGGGUGGCUGCAGUCGAGAAUCUUCGGCAAUGGGCGCAAGCCUGACCGAGCGACACCGCGUGCGGGAUGAAGGCCUUCGGGUUGUAAACCGCUGUCGUAGGGGAGGAAGGGCCUGUGAAGAACAGGACUUGACCGAUCCUAGGAGGAAGGGCCGGCUAAUCUCGUGCCAGCAGCCGCAGUAACAC